CACGAAUGGCGUAACGAUGGCCACACUGUCUCCUCCCGAGACUCAGCGAAGUUGAAAUGUUUGUGAUGAUGCAAUCUCCCCGCAGCUAGACGGAAAGACCCCAUGAACCUUUACUGUAGCUUUGCAUUGGACUGUGAACCGAUUUGUGUAGGAUAGGUGGGAGGCUUUGAAGCGUGGACGCCAGUCUGCGUGGAGCCAACCUUGAAAUACCACCCUGGUUCAUUUGAGGUUCUAACCUUGGUCCGUUAUCCGGAUCGGGGACAGUGCAUGG
rnacentral:rRNA from 14 species